GGCAGAUUGCCCGAGCGGCCAAAGGGAGCGGAUUGUAAAUCCGUCGCGCAAGCUACAUAGGUUCGAAUCCUAUAUCUGCCA
rnacentral:tRNA from 6 species